UACGGAGGGUGCGAGCGUUAAUCGGAAUAACUGGGCGUAAAGGGUACGUAGGCGGAUAAGCAAGUUAGAAGUGAAAUCCUAUAGCUCAACUAUAGUAAGCUUUUAAAACUGCUCAUCUUGAGGUAUGGAAGGGAAAGUGGAAUUCUCAGUGUAGCGGUGAAAUGCGUAGAUAUUGAGAAGAACACCAGUAGCGAAGGCGGCUUUCUGGACUGUAACUGACACUGAGGCACGAAAGCGUGGGUAGCAAACAGG
rnacentral:rRNA from 1 species